AUGAUCACGUGCCUUACACAUGAAGGCUUUUCUGUCUUUUUACAUUCCAAGGGCUAUUUUGUAAAUAAGUAUUCUUCAAGGAUUAAAUAUUUUUUGCAAAACAAAAAAUUAAAAAAGAAAUAUAAACAAACUCUCUUUCUCCCUUUCUAAUCUUUAUAAUCUGAACCUCACCUCUCCUCUCUUCUCUCUCUCUCUCUCUCUUUCCAGAAGACUAUCGAUCCUCACUCAAACAUAGUUCGCAUAGUUCUUGUUGAAAUUAAGUCUCGGUUACGGCGGCUGUAAUAUCGCCGGAAAGUCGUGUGGUGGCAACAUGUCUGAGGGUCGGAGAGGGGAAACAAGGUGAAGCUGCUUGUUCUGGGUCAGUCGGUUCCAUGGUUGUGCCUGAGUAAGAGCUUUAGCCACUGUGAUUUUUAGUAUAAAUCUAGUGGUGCCAAAAUGUGUGGCCAUGCUUUAUUGAGCAUUUGAGCCGUUGUGAUGG
rnacentral:lncRNA from 1 species